GUCCCUUCGGGGACAUCCGAUAAAAUUGGAAUGAUACAGAUAAGAUUAGCAUGGCCCCUGAGCAAGGAUGACAUGCACAAAUCGAGAAAUGAUCCAAAUUUUU